rnacentral:rRNA from 1 species
GACGAACGCUGGCGGCGUGCUUAACACAUGCAAGUCGAACGGAAAGGCCCUGCUUUUGUGGGGUGCUCGAGUGGCGAACGGGUGAGUAACACGUGAGUAACCUGCCCUUGACUUUGGGAUAACUUCAGGAAACUGGGGCUAAUACCGGAUAGGAGCUCCUGCUGCAUGGUGGGGGUUGGAAAGUUUCGGCGGGUGGGGAUGGACUCGCGGCUUAUCAGCUUGUUGGUGGGGGAGUGGCUUACCAAGGCUUUGACGGGUAGCCGGCCUGAGAGGGUGACCGGCCACAUUGGGACUGAGAUACGGCCCAGACUCCUACGGGAGGCAGCAGUGGGGAAUAUUGCACAAUGGGCGGAAGCCUGAUGCAGCGACGCCGCGUGCGGGAUGACGGCCUUCGGGUUGUAAACCGCUUUCGCCUGUGACGCAGCGUGAGUGACGGUAAUGGGUAAAGAAGCACCGGCUAACUACGUG